rnacentral:rRNA from 1 species
GAUGAACGCUGGCGGCGUGCCUAAUACAUGCAAGUCGAGCGAACGGACGAGGAGCUUGCUCCUCUGAUGUUAGCGGCGAACGGGUGAGUAACACGUGGAUAACCUACCUAUAAGACUGGGAUAACUUCGGGAAACCGGAGCUAAUACCGGAUAAUAUUUUGAACCGCAUGGUUCAAAAGUGAAAGACGGUCUUGCUGUCACUUAUAGAUGGAUCCGCGCUGCAUUAGCUAGUUGGUAAGGUAACGGCUUACCAAGGCAACGAUGCAUAGCCGACCUGAGAGGGUGAUCGGCCACACUGGAACUGAGACACGGUCCAGACUCCUACGGGAGGCAGCAGUAGGGAAUCUUCCGCAAUGGGCGAAAGCCUGACGGAGCAACGCCGCGUGAGUGAUGAAGGUCUUCGGAUCGUAAAACUCUGUUAUUAGGGAAGAACAUAUGUGUAAGUAACUGUGCACAUCUUGACGGUACCUAAUCAGAAAGCCACGGCUAACUACGUG